AUUGAACGCUGGCGGCAGGCCUAACACAUGCAAGUCGAGCGGAUGAAGGGAGCUUGCUCCUGGAUUCAGCGGCGGACGGGUGAGUAAUGCCUAGGAAUCUGCCUGGUAGUGGGGGAUAACGUCCGGAAACGGGCGCUAAUACCCCAUACGUCCUGAGGGAGAAAGUGGGGGAUCUUCGGACCUCACGCUAUCAGAUGAGCCUAGGUCGGAUUAGCUAGUUGGUGGGUUAAAGGCCUACCAAGGCGACGAUCCGUAACUGGUCUGAGAGGAUGAUCAGUCACACUGGAACUGAGACACGGUCCAGACUCCUACGGGAGGCAGCAGUGGGGAAUAUUGGACAAUGGGCGAAAGCCUGAUCCAGCCAUGCCGCGUGUGUGAAGAAGGUCUUCGGAUUGUAAAGCACUUUAAGUUGGGAGGAAGGGCAGUAAGUUAAUACCUUGCUGUUUUGACGUUACCAACAGAAUAAGCACCGGCUAACUUCGUG
rnacentral:rRNA from 1 species